UACGUAGGGUGCGAGCGUUGUCCGGAAUUAUUGGGCGUAAAGGGCUCGUAGGCGGUUUGCCGCGUCGGGAGUGAAAACGCCGUGCUUAACACGGCGCUUGCUUUCGAUACGGGCAGACUAGAGGUAUUCAGGGGAGAACGGAAUUCCUGGUGUAGCGGUGAAAUGCGCAGAGUAUCAGGAGGAACACCGGUGGCGAAGGCGGUUCUCUGGGAAUGACCUGACGCUGAGGAGCGAAAGUGUGGGGAGCGAACGGG
rnacentral:rRNA from 1 species